AAAACCAUCUAGAAAAAUCUAGAAUACAUUUAGAAAUCGAAUGCCGUUGGUUGCAGGUCGAAAAAAUAAUUAUUUUCGGAGAUAUUGAAUAUUUUGUGGAGCGGUGCAGCGCUCCGUGACGCUCGGGGUCCCGCGCCGCCUCAGCCAGGUGCAGGUCUCAACCGGUCGGCUAGUAUUCUUUUGUCUCCCUUCACAAAAACCGACUAUGGUCAUAAAUUUCGUUUCGAAAUAAGAUAUAGGUGGCAAUAGUUGAGAAAUUGUCAAGGCAGGUAUAGAGAUAGCGUCACAGCGACAGUUUACGAAUAGAAACCACGCUAUUAUAUAACCAGUGUCAGUCCGGGGAAAAAAAAUUCAUCGAUAUUGCCACUGAUAUCUCGGUAUUAUUAUUCAACGAUGGCCUGAGAAGCCUCAUGAAAGUUUUGGAGACGUUGGGGGUAACCAUCGGCCCAAAUUGUUUCAAUUUCUGCGUUGAAACCGACGCAGCACGGAUCGAGCAGGCGGAGCGCUCGCUCACGGAUGCUGCAAAAGAGGCAAGGAGAGCCUCUACAAGUUCGAGAAAAGUUGCUGGAGACCGUGAUUUGCUUCUUGAAGGCCAGCUAUAUGGUGCCGGAAUCGCUGACUAGAUCAACUUUGAAGACAGUUCUGCUGCGUGCCGCGAAUCACUGCAGAAGCAACGGCACCUGACGUGGGAGCUUCCCCAGCGCCACCAUGGGGCGUGAAAAUUUUAAAAAAAUUUGUUAUGUAUCUUUAAUAAACAACGAACAAAACAAAAAAAAAAA